UGUUAAAAACUUUAUCAAUUUCGAUUCUUAAAAACUAGCAUGACUAACAAAAUAAUAAGAUAGUUACACAUGACGUAACACGUGUAAAUCAUAUUAAAAAGUAGGGACUAGUUUUUAAUAGUAGAAAUAUAUGAAAAUUUUAACA
rnacentral:pre_miRNA from 1 species